ACACAUUCCACACUCUUUGCUCAACAAAUUGCAGAAUGUUUCCUGUCUCCUAUGAUUUUUGGCGAAUUUUCAUAACUUUUUAUAAUACACUAUUUUUCAAUAUUUGAAGAAACCUGUUCCUGGUUUGAAAGUCUUAUUUCCUGUUCAAUUGGGUUCUUAUCACUGUAAAAGUCCCUCUUCUACUUGUGUAGACUUUGGAUUAGAAAUGCAGCACACGCCAAGCAAUGCCUUGACAGGAUUGGCAACGUCCUUUGGAAACUAUAAAUUGCUGUGGACCCUCUAUUGAAUCAAAUCAAUGUCUGACUUUGUGAUUGCAGAAAUAAAACUCAGCCCAAGGCUUGGGAAUAGAAAUGGAGCGUGAGGGAAGCAAUGCCUUGGCGGGUGCCCCACGUCCUUUGGAAACUAUUUCUUCCAAUGUACCCUUUAGGUUUGAAAACAAUGUGUGUCUUUGUGAUUGCUGCAAUAACACUCAGCCCAGGGGCUUGGGAUUACAAACGGAGCGGGAGGGAAGCAAUGCACUUGCAGGAACGCAGACGUCCUUUGGAAACUAUUAUUUUCAAGUCCCCCCCCCCCUUUCAGGAUUGCAAAGAAGGGCUGAUGUGGUGAUUGCUAAAUUCCAAAAAAGAAAACAGAAAGGCAAAAGGUCUACCUCAGGAGAAGGAACCAACCCAAAGCUCAGCACUAGCAGGGAGGGACACAGACUUCUUUGGAAAAAAAUUCCCAACAUCCACAGCAAGGACUCUGCCCCAAGCCAAUUUCCCCCCAACACAAUAUCUAAGCACUUCAGCAACCCUACCCCCAGUCACUUUGCCCUCUCAGCUUCACGGCGCGCGUGAACCACCCUCUCUCCUCGGUAUCCCAACCCAGAAUGGCUUGGCUCUGUGCGGAGGCGAUUUUCGCGGAGGACGCUAGCCCCCACCUUUUUUAGCCAUCGUGGAAGACUCUGAUUGGCAGGGAGCGGGAGCCAUGUUAGGCUGCGCUAGGCUCCCAUUCAUGUUAGGUUGCAGAAACAAAAAAAAUAAAAAUAAUAAUAUUUUUAAAAUAUUAAAAAAAAAUUGGAGGAAAAAAAUUAACGAAAAUUUUAAGACACAAUUACAGAAUGGGCCAACGAUGGAUCGUAUUACAUUGCCAGUAGCGCCCAGGGAAAACGUUUCAAUACUCAUGUCAAAAAACGGGAACAAUAUGAAAUAAUUACGGUAGGGGAAUUUUUACGACAAUAUGGACAACCCUAAUAUCUUCUAUAUAUAUAUAAAGCUUCUGACCAUUUCUACUUUAAUUAAAACAGCGAAACUACACAAUCCAAAACCACAAAACUUGGCAACAAAAGACAUCAUCCUCCCUGCUGUGUUUAGACAGCAAAAUGAAAAAAACAAACUGCAAGUCCCUUAAAAUCCCAAAAAACAGGAAAACUCCAUGUGCGCAUGCACCAAGCAGCCCCCCCCCAAGAAACAAAGACGUCACACCAUUGCU
rnacentral:lncRNA from 1 species